CCUCAGGAAGAAAAAAAAGUCGAGCCGAGCGACAAGGAAAACGCAAAAGGGGUAAGUUAAACGCGAAAGAUCUACCCCUAGUCAAAGAUUCGCCGCAACGAAAGACCACGGGCGUAGCACCCGACGGCGCCCUUUUCGACAUUUUACAAUUUUAAUUCAAUUUUUAUCUUUUCCCUAUAUUUUGUCAGAUUUUAAUUUAGCCUCAAUUUUAUAUUUUGAAUAAAUUUCGAAAGUAAAUCAAGAUCCAAUAACAGUAACUUCCAGUCCAGGUGGCGCAUCGAUACCAGAAUACACACGUUUUAGAGUGCCAUCAGAUAUUUAGUCGACAUCCGAUUAAACUAAGAGCUUAGAUAUGAAACUGGAAAAUCAUUUGACCGUAUUUCAAAGUUUUAAUAAAUUGUUGAACUUGAUAUAUCGCUUUGCCUAUAUAGAAUAGCUAUGCCACUAAUUUUCCAGCUAACGCGUCUGUCGAACUUUUUUCACUCUUGUAACACCUGACACAAGUUAACAAUUCAAUGUACUUCAAUAUUUUUCGUUGACGUCACCGAAAUGAAACGCAAACAUAAUGAAUACUGUUGUUGUACAAGCUAACUUUACAUUUAAUUAUAUAUUCUGAUCAAACAUUCUUCCCUCGCUUAAUUGUGUUGUAAUAAGAGUUAAUUUACCAAUCUCAAAGUUUCAUCAAACACAGAGUAAUAAUUAGAUGCCUAUUGGCGACGUUAUAAUUUCUUAUUCAGGGAUGUCAUAACUAUAAAAUAUCUAAAGUACAUGCACUGUGACACGGCUGUCAUAAAGAUAGGUCCAACUACGCAUAUCAGGAUUAUGCAAUGGGACACGAUGAGUUAUGGGUCGUUUCCGGGUGACGUCGUAUGGAUUUUUUUUUAAAGAAAUUUUAUUUGUUUCUCUCAUAAAAAUAUUUUGUAUUGAUUUGAAGGAAGUUCGAAAGGAAUCUUGAAAAUUUCAAUAUCUACAGGGCUCGAAGGGACUAUCUACGGUACUGUUAAUACUAGCAGACUAUACAACGCGCACCGCAAUACCUAUUGCUCAAGUACGUCGUAAAAACAUUGGGUCUUCGCUAUACGGGAGUUCUUUAGGUUGCGUUAGCAACGUAAAACUGUACGAUGUGAAAUACGAGGCCAGUGAAAUUCUUGUCCGACCUGACUAUAACCUUUAAACAGCUAUCGAUGAAAAGGGAACUACGUCAGUUGGUAUAAAAACGACGCACGAGCGUCAAAGUGAGAUCAGCGAAUCCGGAAAACUGUUAAAACGCGCGAGGACAAGCUGCUUUCACUGGAAGUUUCAUCACCUGCAAAUUUAUGUGUCUGAAAGAUAUUGAAGGAAGGAACAAAAACUGUCCUUGGCGUCACAGACUGUUCCCCAUAAAACUGACAGUCGAUUCAUCUAGUCACAUCAAAAUGCUUUGUCAAUUUUUUAUUCAAUCAGAAAAAGUGAGUAGCAUUGUUGCCUAAUUUUCUAUCUACCUACUCGAUUAAUUUAGUUCUUUCGUCCGUAUAAAACAUUCGAAGCAGCCCGAGUGUAUUUUCAACCAACGGGUAUGAUCUGGAGAGAUAAUACUUAUAUAAUGAAAAUAACUAUAGUGAUAAAUAGUGACCUAGGCUGGUGUAAGGAUCAAUGAUUAUCAUAGGAAAAUAAACAACUUGACAUUUCUGUACUCCAACUCCCUUUUAUUCGCAGAACAUACAAAAUUGAUACCCGAACUCGCACAAGUACGUUUCUCUAUAGGCCUCGAUAAAGGAUUUUAUAUCUUCGUUCCGUUUCAUAGCAAACGUCCAAUAAAACCCUGGCUGCAAUGUUUAUUUCCAAAAAGAGAUCGCCGAUGUUCAAAGAUGGAAAAGAGGGGCACUUCUUUCGGCGAAAGUUUUUAUCUUUCAGAAGUAAGGGAUGCUGUUACUUCCUGUGAGAGGAAGAGUGAGUGUCAACGGUCUGAUAAAAAGAAAAAAGUUCUUUUUGUCUUCCCGGCAGAGAUUUAUUAUUUUCAUUUUUUCUGCUUUUCUAUUUUUAUACUAUUUUUAGUGAAGAUACAACGAACUGAACAGACUAUGAAUGAUAUUUGUAAUUAACUGUAGGUAUUCCUUGACAACGAAUUUUCAUGUGUAUAUAAAUUUAAUGGAUCAAU